GGGAAUCUUCGGAUUCUAGUGGCGGACGGGUGAGUAACGCGUAAGAAUCUAACUUCAGGACGGGGACAACAGUUGGAAACGACUGCUAAUACCCGAUAUGCCGCAAGGUGAAACCUAAUUGGCCUGGAGAAGAGCUUGCGUCUGAUUAGCUAGUUGGUGGGGUAAGAGCCUACCAAGGCGACGAUCAGUAGCUGGUCUGAGAGGAUGAGCAGCCACACUGGGACUGAGACACGGCCCAGACUCCUACGGGAGGCAGCAGUGGGGAAUUUUCCGCAAUGGGCGAAAGCCUGACGGAGCAACGCCGCGUGAGGGAGGAAGGUCUUUGGAUUGUAAACCUCUUUUCUCAAGGAAGAAGUUCUGACGGUACUUGAGGAAUCAGCCUCGGCUAACUCCGUGCCAGCAGCCGCGGUAAUACGGGGGAGGCAAGCGUUAUCCGGAAUUAUUGGGCGUAAAGCGUCCGCAGGUGGUCAGCCAAGUCUGCCGUCAAAUCAGGUUGCUUAACGACCUAAAGGCGGUGGAAACUGGCAGACUAGAGAGCAGUAGGGGUAGCAGGAAUUCCCAGUGUAGCGGUGAAAUGCGUAGAGAUUGGGAAGAACAUCGGUGGCGAAAGCGUGCUACUGGGCUGUAUCUGACACUCAGGGACGAAAGCUAGGGGAGCGAAAGGGAUUAGAUACCCCUGUAGUCCUAGCCGUAAACGAUGGAUACUAGGCGUGGCUUGUAUCGACCCGAGCCGUGCCGAAGCUAACGCGUUAAGUAUCCCGCCUGGGGAGUACGCACGCAAGUGUGAAACUCAAAGGAAUUGACGGGGGCCCGCACAAGCGGUGGAGUAUGUGGUUUAAUUCGAUGCAACGCGAAGAACCUUACCAAGACUUGACAUGUCGCGAACCCUGGNGAAAGCUGGGGGUGCCUUCGGGAGCGCGAACACAGGUGGUGCAUGGNUGUCGUCAGCUCGUGUCGUGAGAUGUUGGGNUNAGUCCCGCAACGAGCGCAACCC
rnacentral:rRNA from 1 species